CAGGUCCACAGGCUGUAGAAAGAGCAGGAUGGCCCUGGCAGAUAGAAAUUGUGUAAUAGAGUAAAUUAACAAUAAAGGAGGAUGAAGAUGAGGGUGAAGAUGAACUGAAAAAGGAGGAGGAAGAGAGGAGAAGGAAAAGAAGGAGGAGGAGAACAACAACAAGAGGAAGAGGAAGAAGAAGAGAAGGAGGAGGAAAGAGAAAUAUCAUCCUCUCCCAAGACACUUUUGGGGUGUAGGCAGAUCACAUAGUGUCUUAUAGGCCACUGUAAAACAUGCCAGUUCUCUAGGUGAAAUUGGGAGCCAUUAAAUGGUUUAAACAGAGGAUUGCCAUGAUCUGACUUACAUUUUAAAAAGAUCACUCUGACUGUUCUGUAUAAGGUAAACCGUAAAUGGAUGAGGUUUGGAAGCCGAGAAACCAACUAUAAAAUUAUUGCAGUGAUUCUGGUGAAGCAGAAUGAUGGUUAGGACUAGGCUGGUUUUAUUUUAUUUUUUUCUUUCUUUCUUUUUUUUUGGAGAUGGAGUUUCACUCUUUGUUGC
rnacentral:lncRNA from 10 species